rnacentral:rRNA from 1 species
GAUGAACGCUAGCGGCAGGCCUAACACAUGCAAGUCGAGGGGCAGCACAGGUAGCAAUACUGGGUGGCGACCGGCGGAUGGGUGCGUAACGCGUAUGCAACCUACCAUUGAUUGGGGCAUAGCCCGAAGAAAUUCGGAUUAAUACUCCAUAAUAUUCAUCAAAGGCAUCUUUUAUGAAUUAAAGCUUUUGCGAUCAAUGAUGGGCAUGCGUGACAUUAGUUAGUUGGUGAGGUAACGGCUCACCAAAACGAUGAUGUCUAGGGGUUCUGAGAGGAUUAUCCCCCACACUGGUACUGAGACACGGACCAGACUCCUACGGGAGGCAGCAGUGAGGAAUAUUGGUCAAUGGACGCAAGUCUGAACCAGCCAUGCCGCGUGACAGGAUGACGGCCCUAUGGGUUGUAAACUGCUUUUCCACGGGAAGAACCCUCCGACGUGUCGGAGACUGACGGUACCGUGGGAAUAAGCAUCGGCUAACUCCGUGCC